GCUGGAUGCGCAGUUUUAUCCGGUAAAGCGACUGACGAGAGGCAUUGGGGCCGAAACGGCUUCAACCUAUUCUCAAACUUUGAAUGGGUAAGACGCCCGGCUCGCGUCUUCGGAGCCGGGCGCGUGCGUUCCGCCGUCUUACCGGGCGGCGGGCGCGCGAGCGAAGAAUGCGAGCUGCCCAGUGGGCCACUUUUGGUAAGCAGAACUGGCGCUGCGGGAUGAACCGAACGCCGGGUUAAGGCGCCGAACGCGAACGCUCAUCGGAGCCCUGGCAAAAGGUGUUGGUUGGUCGAGACAGCAGGGCGGUGGCCAUGGAAGUCGGAAUCCGCUAAGGAGUGUGUAACGACUCACCUGCCGAAUCAACUGGCCCUGAAAAUGGAUGGCGCUCGAGCGUCGGGCCUAUACCCGGCCGUCGCAGGCGAUGUAACCAGUUGGCGCGCGUGCGUCGCGGUCGCUCGGCUUUUAGCCGUGGCGCGCCGCGCGCGCGCGCGCAUGUCCGUGCGCUACGCCGCGACGAGUAGGAGGGCCGCCGCGGUGGCGCUGAAGCCUUGGGCGCGGGCCCGGGUGGAGCCGCCGCGGGUGCAGAUCUUGGUGGUAGUAGCAAAUAUUCAAACGAGAGACUUUGAAGGCCGAGGUGGAGAAGGGUUCCAUGUGAACAGCGCUUGGACAUGGGUGAGUCGGUCCUAAGUGACGGGCGAAGGCCUUACGGACGAUGUUGGGCGAUGGGCUCCCAUCUGCCCCGGUGCGAGCGAAAGGGAAUCGGGCUCAGAUCCCCGAACCCAGAGUGCGGAGAAAGGUCGGGGGACGGCUCGCGCUUGUCGCGGCCUCCCAACGUUGCGGUAACGCAAAGCGCGCCUGGAGACGGCGGCGGGGGUGCCGGGAAGAGUUUUCUUUUCUUCGUGAAGGGACGGGCGCCCUGGAAUGGGUUUUACCCGAGAUAGGGGCCCGCGCCCUGCAGAGCGUCGCGGCUCCUGCGGCGUCCGGCGGGCCCUCGCCGCCCCUUGAAAAUCCGGGUGCGAUGACUGAAUCUCGCUCUGGGCCGUACCCAUAUCCGCAGCAGGUCUCCAAGGUGAACAGCCUCUGGUGCGAUGGAACAAUGUGGGUAAGGGAAGUCGGCAAGCCGAUUCCGUAACUUCGGGACAAGGAUUGGCUCUGAGGGCUGGGUCGGUCGAGCCGGGGCGCGAAGCGGUGUACGGGAACGCGCUCGCGGUCGGGGCGAGCCUCCGUUUCCCGGGCCCGCGGGGCUCCCGGCCCGUCGUCCGGUCCGCCGGCGCCUCGCGGCGUGGCGUCGGGUUCUACCGCCGGCACGGGCGGUGCGUUCGGGGGUUUUCGGUCCCGUGCCGUGUCCGGGGGACGUCCCUCCCGUCGUGGCCCUUGGUCGAGCGCCCCGCGUUGCGCGCGCGCCGGCCCCUGCGCUCGUCGUCGUUGUCGGUCGCGCGUCCCCGCCGGGCUGCCUCGAGCCUCCCCGUCCCCGUCGCGCCUCCGCGGGCAACCGCGGGUGGGUGGCGGCGGGGCGACGGUUCUUGGUCAGUGCCGGCGGGGCCGCGGUCGGCGUUAGCGGCGGCGCGACGCUCGGACCGGCACCGCGCGCGUCUCGUCGGGGGUCUAACGUGCGCCUCGGGUGGCGGCGGGAAACUCCUCCGGUGCCGGUGCGGGUUUUCCGGGCUCCCCGGCCCCGUCCUUCGGCCGGCGGGCCCGCGCCCUCUCGCGGCGCGUCGGCGUCGGGCGUCCUGGGCCGGAUCGGCCCGGCGGCGGUCCCGGAGCGCGAGGUACUCUGUUGCGAACGUGAGCCGUUGCCUCCCCGUGGAGCGCUCCGGCUGCGGCGCGCGCGCGGUCCGCCCGGACCCGCCGCGUCCCGCGCCCCCUUCCGCACGCGCGGGCGUUCUCGCGCCGGCGCGACGCAUCRUGAACUCGGUGUUGUUCGCGGCGGUUCCCCGCUCGCGCGUGCGGUCGAAGGGCAAAGGUGCGAUGGUGCGAGGCUCGGGUGCGCGCGUGCGCCUCGGCCGGCGACCGACA
rnacentral:rRNA from 1 species